rnacentral:tRNA from 1 species
GACUUAAAAUCCGUCGACUUAAAAAAUCGUGAGG